rnacentral:rRNA from 1 species
AGAGUUUGACCUGGCUCAGAAUCAACGCUGGCGGCGUGCCUCAGACAUGCAAGUCGAACGAUUAAGACUUCCUUCGGGAAGUGUAUAAAGUGGCGCACGGGUGAGUAACACGUAAGUAAUCUGCCCUCGAGUGGGGAACAACGUCCGGAAACGGACGCUAAUACCGCAUAAUGCAGCGGCACCGCAAGGUGACAGUUGUUAAAGGAGCAAUCCGCUUGAGGAGGAGCUUGCGGCAGAUUAGCUAGUUGGUAAGGUAAUGGCUUACCAAGGCUACGAUCUGUAACCGGUCUAAGAGGACGGUCGGUCACACUGACACUGAAUAACGGGUCAGACUCCUACGGGAGGCAGCAGUCGGGAAUUUUGGGCAAUGGGCGAAAGCCUGACCCAGCAACGCCGCGUGAAGGAUGAAGUAUUUCGGUAUGUAAACUUCGAAAGAAUGGGAAGAAUAAAUGACGGUACCAUUUAUAAGGUCCGGCUAACUACGUGCCAGCAGCCGCGGUAAUACGUAGGGACCAAGCGUUGUUCGGAUUUACUGGGCGUAAAGGGCGCGUAGGCGGCAUAUUAAGUCAGCUGUGAAAUCUCCGAGCUUAACUCGGAACUGUCAGCUGAUACUAACGUGCUAGAGUGCAGAAGGGCAUCGGAUUCUUGGUGUAGCGGUGAAUGCGUAGAUAUCGGGAGGACACUGUGGCGAAGGCGGGUCUCUGGGCAUCCUGACGCUGAGCGCGAAGCGUGGGGAGCAAACGGGAUUAGAUACCCCGGUAGUCACGCUGUAAACGAUGACGACUAGGUGUGGGGGGUUCAGUCCCUUCCGUGCCGCAGCUAACGCAUUAAGUCGUCCGCCUGGGGAGUACGGCCGCAAGGUUGAAACUCAAAGGAAUUGACGGGGGCCCGCACAAGCGGUGGAGCAUGUGGUUCAAUUCGAUGCAGAGCGAAGAACCUUACCUGGGCUUGACAUGCAGGAAGUAGAAACCGGAAACGGCGACGACCUGUUAAGUCAGGAACCUGCACAGGUGGUGCAUGGCUGUCGUCAGCUCGUGCCGUGAGGUGUUGGGUUAAGUCCCGCAACGAGCGCAACCCUCACCCUAUGUUGCCAUCGGGUAAUGCCGGGCACUCUUGGGGAACUGCCGGCGAAGAGCUGGAGGAAGGGGGGGAUGACGUCAAGUCCGUAUGCCCCUUAUGUCCAGGGCUACACACAUGCUACAAUGGCCGAUACAGAGGGUUCCCAACCCGCAAGGGGGAGGCAAUCCCACAAAGUCGGUCUCAGUUCGGAUUGCAGGCUGCAACUCGCCUGCAUGAAGUCGGAAUCGCUAGUAAGCGCAGAUCAGCAGGCUGCGCUGAAUACGUUCCCGGGCCUUGUACACACCGCCCGUCACACCACGAAAGCCGGUUGUACCAGAAGUCGCUGAGCCAACCGCAAGGGAGCAGGCGCCGAAGGUAUGGUCGGUGAUUGGGGUGAAGUCGUAACAAGGUAACC